UACGUAGGGUGCAAGCGUUGUCCGGAAUUAUUGGGCGUAAAGAGCUCGUAGGCGGUUUGUCGCGUCGAAUGUGAAAACCCGGGGCUCAACCCCGGGCCUGCAUUCGAUACUGGGCGGCUAGAGUCUGGUAGGGGAGUCUGGAAUUCCUGGUGUAGCGGUGGAAUGCGCAGAUAUCAGGAGGGACACCGGUGGCGAAGGCGGGAUCCUGGGCCAGUACUGACGCUGAGGAGCGAAAGCGUGGGGAGCAAACAGG
rnacentral:rRNA from 1 species